GGGAAGGUGGCUCAGUGGUAGAGCGCUUGCCUUGCAUGCAUGAGGCCCUAAGUUUGAUUCCUCAGUACCA
rfam:Dipodomys ordii contig_21733, whole genome shotgun sequence.